CAAUAGCGUAUAUUAAAGUUGUUGCGGUUAAAAAGCUCGUAGUUGGAUUUCUGCUGAGAACGACCGGUCCGCCCUCUGGGUGUGUAUCUGGCUCUUUCUUGGCAUCUUCUUGGUGAACGUUGCUGCACUUGACUGUGUGGAGCGCUACCCAGGACUUUUACUUUGAGGAAAUUAGAGUGUUUCAAGCAGGCAUACGCCUUGAAUACAUUAGCAUGGAAUAAUAAGAUAGGACCUCGGUUCUAUUUUGUUGGUUUCUAGAGCUGAGGUAAUGAUUAAUAGGGAUAGUUGGGGGCAUUCGUAUUUAACUGUCAGAGGUGAAAUUCUUGGAUUUGUUAAAGACGGACUACAGCGAAAGCAUUUGCCAAGGAUGUUUUCAUUG
rnacentral:rRNA from 1 species